GUUGGAGCUAGGGUUAGGGUUGGGCUUGGAGCUAGGAUUUUUCUGAGUGCAAUGAACCAACUCCCGAGUCUCUUGGACGUUCCUAAAAAAAUUUGAUUUUUUCCCAUAGGAAUGCAUGGGUUAGGGUUAGGGUUAGGGUUGGAGCUAGGGUUAGGGUUAGGGUUAGGGUUGGAGUUAGGGUUAGUGUUGGAGCUAGGGUUAGGGUUGGGCUUGGAGCUAGGAUUUUUCUGAGUGCACUGAACCAACUCCCGAGUCUCUAGGACGUUCCUAAAAAAAUUUGAUUUUUUUCCCAUAGGAAUGCAUGGGUUAGGGUUAGGGUUAGGGUUGGAGGUAGGGUUAGGGUUAGGGUUAGGGUUGGAGUUAGGGUUAGUGUUGGAGCUAGGGUUAGGGUUGGGCUUGGAGCUAGGAUUUUUCUGAGUGCACUGAACCAACUCCCGAGUCUCUAGGACAUUCCUAAAAAAAUUUGAUUUUUUCCCAUAGGAAUGCAUGGGUUAGGGUUAGGGUUAGGGUUGGAGCUAGGGUUAGGGUUAGGGUUAGGGUUGGAGUUAGGGUUAGUGUUGGAGCUAGGGUUAGGGUUGGGCUUGGAGCUAGGAUUUUUCUGAGUGCACUGAACCAACUCCCGAGUCUCUAGGACAUUCCUAAAAAAAUUUGAUUUUUUCCCAUAGGAAUGCAUGGGUUAGGGUUAUGGUUAGGGUUAGGGUUGGAGCUAGGGUUAGGGUUAGGGUUAGGGUUGGAGUUAGGGUUAGUGUUGGAGCUAGGGUUAGGGUUGGGCUUGGAGCUAGGAUUUUUCUGAGUGCACUGAACCAACUCCCGAGUCUCUAGGACAUUCCUAAAAAAAUUUGAUUUUUUCCCAUAGGAAUGCAUGGGUUAGGGUUAUGGUUAGGGUUAGGGUUGGAGCUAGGGUUAGGGUUAGGGUUAGGGUUGGAGUUAGGGUUAGUGUUGGAGCUAGGGUUAGGGUUGGGCUUGGAGCUAGGAUUUUCUGAGUGCAAUGAACCAACUCCCGAGUCUCUAGGACAUUCCUAAAAAAAAUUGAUUUUUUCCCAUAGGAAUGCAUGGGUUAGGGUUAGGGUUAGGGUUGGAGCUAGGGUUAGGGUUAGGGUUAGGGUUGGAGUUAGGGUUAGUGUUGGAGCUAGGGUUAGGGUUGGGCUUGGAGCUAGGAUUUUUCUGAGUGCAAUGAACCAACUCCCGAGUCUCUAGGACGUUCCUAAAAAAUUUGAUUUUUUCCCAUAGGAAUGCAUGGGUUAGGGUUAUGGUUAGGGUUGGAGCUAGGGUUAGGGUUAGGGUUAGGGUUGGAGUUAGGGUUAGUGUUGGAGUUGGGUUAGGGUUGGGCUUGGAGCUAGGAUUUUUCUGAGUGCACUGAACCAACUCCCGAGUCUCUAGGACGUUCCUAAAAAAAUUUGAUUUUUUUCCCAUAGGAAUGCAUGGGUUAGGGUUAGGGUUAGGGUUGGAGCUAGGGUUAGGGUUAGGGUUAGGGUUGGAGUUAGGGUUAGUGUUGGAGCUAGGGUUAGGGUUGGGCUUGGAGCUAGGAUUUUUCUGAGUGCACUGAACCAACUCCCGAGUCUCUAGGACAUUCCUAAAAAAAUUUGAUUUUUUUCCCAUAGGAAUGCAUGGGUUAGGGUUAUGGUUAGGGUUAGGGUUGGAGCUAGGGUUAGGGUUAGGGUUAGGGUUGGAGUUAGGGUUAGUGUUGGAGCUAGGGUUAGGGUUGGGCUUGGAGCUAGGACUUUUCUGAGUGCAAUGAACCAACUCCCGAGUCUCUAGGACAUUCCUAAAAAAAUUUGAUUUUUUCCCAUAGGAAUGCAUGGGUUAGGGUUAUGGUUAGGGUUAGGGUUGGAGCUAGGGUUAGGGUUAGGGUUAGGGUUGGAGUUGGAGUUAGGGUUAGUGUUGGAGCUAGGGUUAGGGUUGGGCUUGGAGCUAGGAUUUUUCUGAGUGCACUGAACCAACUCCCGAGUCUCUAGGACAUUCCUAAAAAAAUUUGAUUUUUUCCCAUAGGAAUGCAUGGGUUAGGGUUAGGGUUAGGGUUGGAGCUAGGGUUAGGGUUAGGGUUAGGGUUGGAGUUAGGGUUAGUGUUGGAGCUAGGGUUAGGGUUGGGCUUGGAGCUAGGAUUUUUCUGAGUGCACUGAACCAACUCCCGAGUCUCUAGGACAUUCCUAAAAAAAUUUGAUUUUUUCCCAUAGGAAUGCAUGGGUUAGGGUUAGGGUUAGGGUUGGAGCUAGGGUUAGGGUUAGGGUUAGGGUUGGAGUUAGGGUUAGUGUUGGAGCUAGGGUUAGGGUUGGGCUUGGAGCUAGGAUUUUUCUGAGUGCACUGAACCAACUCCCGAGUCUCUAGGACAUUCCUAAAAAAAUUUGAUUUUUUUCCCAUAGGAAUGCAUGGGUUAGGGUUAUGGUUAGGGUUAGGGUUGGAGCUAGGGUUAGGGUUAGGGUUAGGGUUGGAGUUAGGGUUAGUGUUGGAGCUAGGGUUAGGGUUGGGCUUGGAGCUAGGAUUUUUCUGAGUGCAAUGAACCAACUCCCGAGUCUCUUGGACGUUCCUAAAAAAAUUUGAUUUUUUCCCAUAGGAAUGCAUGGGUUAGGGUUAGGGUUAGGGUUGGAGCUAGGGUUAGGGUUAGGGUUAGGGUUGGAGUUAGGGUUAGUGUUGGAGCUAGGGUUAGGGUUGGGCUUGGAGCUAGGAUUUUUCUGAGUGCACUGAACCAACUCCCGAGUCUCUAGGACGUUCCCAAAAAAAUUUGAUUUUUUCCCAUAGGAAUGCAUGGGUUAGGGUUAGGGUUAGGGUUGGAGCUAGGGUUAGGGUUAGGGUUAGGGUUGGAGUUAGGGUUAGUGUUGGAGCUAGGGUUAGGGUUGGGCUUGGAGCUAGGAUUUUUCUGAGUGCACUGAACCAACUCCCGAGUCUCUAGGACAUUCCUAAAAAAAUUUGAUUUUUUCCCAUAGGAAUGCAUGGGUUAGGGUUAGGGUUAGGGUUGGAGCUAGGGUUAGGGUUAGGGUUGGAGUUAGGGUUAGUGUUGGAGUUGGGUUAGGGUUGGGCUUGGAGCUAGGAUUUUUCUGAGUGCAAUGAACCAACUCCCGAGUCUCUAGGACGUUCCUAAAAAAAUUUGAUUUUUUCCCAUAGGAAUGCAUGGGUUAGGGUUAGGGUUAGGGUUGGAGCUAGGGUUAGGGUUAGGGUUAGGGUUGGAGUUAGGGUUAGUGUUGGAGCUAGGGUUAGGGUUGGGCUUGGAGCUAGGAUUUUUCUGAGUGCACUGAACCAACUCCCGAGUCUCUAGGACAUUCCUAAAAAAAUUUGAUUUUUUCCCAUAGGAAUGCAUGGGUUAGGGUUAUGGUUAGGGUUAGGGUUGGAGCUAGGGUUAGGGUUAGGGUUAGGGUUGGAGUUAGGGUUAGUGUUGGAGCUAGGGUUAGGGUUGGGCUUGGAGCUAGGACUUUUCUGAGUGCAAUGAACCAACUCCCGAGUCUCUAGGAAAUUCCUAAAAAAAUUUGAUUUUUUCCCAUAGGAAUGCAUGGGUUAGGGUUAUGGUUAGGGUUAGGGUUGGAGCUAGGGUUAGGGUUAGGGUUAGGGUUGGAGUUAGGGUUAGUGUUGGAGCUAGGGUUAGGGUUGGGCUUGGAGCUAGGAUUUUUCUGAGUGCACUGAACCAACUCCCGAGUCUCUAGGACAUUCCUAAAAAAAUUUGAUUUUUUUCCCAUAGGAAUGCAUGGGUUAGGGUUAGGGUUAGGGUUGGAGCUAGGGUUAGGGUUAGGGUUAGGGUUGGAGUUAGGGUUAGUGUUGGAGCUAGGGUUAGGGUUGGGCUUGGAGCUAGGAUUUUUCUGAGUGCACUGAACCAACUCCCGAGUCUCUAGGACAUUCCUAAAAAAAUUUGAUUUUUUCCCAUAGGAAUGCAUGGGUUAGGGUUAGGGUUAGGGUUGGAGCUAGGGUUAGGGUUAGGGUUAGGGUUGGAGUUAGGGUUAGUGUUGGAGCUAGGGUUAGGGUUGGGCUUGGAGCUAGGAUUUUUCUGAGUGCACUGAACCAACUCCCGAGUCUCUAGGACAUUCCUAAAAAAAUUUGAUUUUUUUCCCAUAGGAAUGCAUGGGUUAGGGUUAUGGUUAGGGUUAGGGUUGGAGCUAGGGUUAGGGUUAGGGUUAGGGUUGGAGUUAGGGUUAGUGUUGGAGCUAGGGUUAGGGUUGGGCUUGGAGCUAGGAUUUUUCUGAGUGCAAUGAACCAACUCCCGAGUCUCUUGGACGUUCCUAAAAAAAUUUGAUUUUUUCCCAUAGGAAUGCAUGGGUUAGGGUUAGGGUUAGGGUUGGAGCUAGGGUUAGGGUUAGGGUUAGGGUUGGAGUUAGGGUUAGUGUUGGAGCUAGGGUUAGGGUUGGGCUUGGAGCUAGGAUUUUUCUGAGUGCACUGAACCAACUCCUGAGUCUCUAGGACGUUCCUAAAAAAAUUUGAUUUUUUCCCAUAGGAAUGCAUGGGUUAGGGUUAGGGUUAGGGUUGGAGCUAGGGUUAGGGUUAGGGUUAGGGUUGGAGUUAGGGUUAGUGUUGGAGCUAGGGUUAGGGUUGGGCUUGGAGCUAGGAUUUUUCUGAGUGCACUGAACCAACUCCCGAGUCUCUAGGACAUUCCUAAAAAAAUUUGAUUUUUUCCCAUAGGAAUGCAUGGGUUAGGGUUAGGGUUAGGGUUGGAGCUAGGGUUAGGGUUAGGGUUAGGGUUGGAGUUAGGGUUAGUGUUGGAGCUAGGGUUAGGGUUGGGCUUGGAGCUAGGAUUUUUCUGAGUGCACUGAACCAACUCCCGAGUCUCUAGGACAUUCCUAAAAAAAUUUGAUUUUUUCCCAUAGGAAUGCAUGGGUUAGGGUUAUGGUUAGGGUUAGGGUUGGAGCUAGGGUUAGGGUUAGGGUUAGGGUUGGAGUUAGGGUUAGUGUUGGAGCUAGGGUUAGGGUUGGGCUUGGAGCUAGGACUUUUCUGAGUGCAAUGAACCAACUCCCGAGUCUCUAGGACGUUCCCUAAAAAAAUUUGAUUUUUUCCCAUAGGAAUGCAUGGGUUAUGGUUAGGGUUAGGGUUGGAGCUAGGGUUAGGGUUAGGGUUAGGGUUGGAGUUAGGGUUAGUGUUGGAGCUAGGGUUAGGGUUGGGCUUGGAGCUAGGAUUUUUCUGAGUGCACUGAACCAACUCCCGAGUCUCUAGGACAUUCCUAAAAAA